rnacentral:lncRNA from 1 species
CCCAUAGAUAAGGGGUUUGUGUCAGUAGCUGCAUGAAUUCCUGUUAAAACAGAAAUAAAAUCCCAUCAAAGUCCUGGAGGUGAGGUUGUGGUUAAACAUCCAGCUCAGGGAUCAGUCUGGGUGACUGCUCUUUUCCCAUGGAAAAGGAGCAUGGGAUGCUGUAGACACUGAAGGCAGUAAGUUAACUGUAAGCGAGGCCUGGGUUAUGUCCAAGACCUGGGUGUCUUCUCUUGCAGGGAGAUGGGGUGUUACCUGCUGACCGUGGGAACACUGAUAACUGGAAAAAAAAAAAAAAACCAGCCCCUGCUGACAGCACACGAGUCCAGUUUCAAAGUGCACAGCUCCAAACUUCUCACCCUUUCUCAGGGCACCUCAGGGAGCUCUCCACAAAACCCUUCUAGACAGGGCUCUUUUCAGAUGCCCACAUACAGCCUCCCACCACCAUCUCCAUACUCGCAGCAUCUCUGCACCGUCCUCAUGGGUCUCUCAGAUAUCACAGAGGUGCUAUGAGACAGCAGUGCCUUUCUAGAGGGCAGCACGCAUUCUGCCAGGACACUAUAAGGAAACGGUCAAAGGACUGUUAGGACUGGAGAUGGGUUCUCCUUAAAGGAGAGUCAGCUCAUUUCGGAGCCCCAUGGACUGCAUUUCCUGGAGCUCCACAAGUCAGAAGGGGGCUGGGGCAGCCUCAUUCCCAUGCAGAUCCCUCUGCAGCACAACUUGCAGCAUCCAUGUCUGAACUGCAGCUGAACUGCCCCCCCCCCCGCCCCCCGCCCCAAAGCCAGAGAGCCCGAGAACAAGAACAGGAGCAGCAUGGACAGGAGGGGAAACAAGGAGCAACACCAUGAUCCAUGAUCCUUCUGCCAAGGGAGGCAAGAAGGGAGAGACAGAUGGGAAUUCAGGAAAGCCUUCACCAUACCAGCUAGGCAUGCCGCCUCGCAGGCAGGGGCAUCGCAGGGCAGUCACUCUCAGUCCCUUUGUCAGGCACCUCUCCUCUGCCAGAGGGCUGGCUUCAGAGAAGGCAGCUCAUGCCCUGGACCCCAUGGCUG